GACAGAGGGUGCGAACGUUGCUCGGAAUCAUUGGGCGUAAAGCGCGUGUAGGCGGCAUCGCACGUCGGGUGUGAAAGCCCGGGGCUCAACCCCGGCAGUGCACCCGAAACGACGAUGCUAGAGUGCUGGAGAGGCGGGUGGAAUUCCCGGUGUAGAGGUGAAAUGCGCAGAUAUCAGGAGGAACACCGAUGGCGAAGGCAGGUCUCUGGGCCACUACUGACGCUGAGAAGCGAAAGCAUGGGGAGCGAACAGG
rnacentral:rRNA from 1 species